rnacentral:rRNA from 1 species
GAUGAACGCUGGCGGCGUGCUUAACACAUGCAAGUCGAACGAAGCACCUUAUUCUGAUUUCUUCGGAAUGAAAAAUUUGGUGACUGAGUGGCGGACGGGUGAGUAACGCGUGGGUAACCUGCCUCAUACAGGGGGAUAACAGUUAGAAAUGACUGCUAAUACCGCAUAAGACCACAGCACCGCAUGGUGCAGGGGUAAAAACUCCGGUGGUAUGAGAUGGACCCGCGUCUGAUUAGGUAGGUGGUGGGGUAACGGCCUACCAAGCCGACGAUCAGUAGCCGACCUGAGAGGGUGACCGGCCACAUUGGGACUGAGACACGGCCCAAACUCCUACGGGAGGCAGCAGUGGGGAAUAUUGCACAAUGGGGGAAACCUUGAUGCAGCGACGCCGCGUGAGUGAUGAAGUAUUUCGGUAUGUAAAGCUCUAUCAGCAGGGAAGAAAAUGACGGUACCUGACUAAGAAGCACCGGCUAAAUACGUGCCAGCCGCCGCGGUAAAAC